ensembl:lncRNA
UAAAUGUUAAAUAAGAUCUUUCUACAUGACAGAGUUUAGACAGAGUGAAGGGAGUGAAGAGGUGGAAGCAGUUCUUCUGUCAUUCAAUAUUUUUCUUGAUUAGCAUCAAAUUCAUAAUGAAUAUCCAUCAUGUUCUGGUCUUCUGCUUCUUAUCAGGUACAACUGGGUUUGUUAAAGCCAGCAUUUGGAUUGUACCUGAAGGAGGGAAUGUAUCACUAUAUAAUUACUUCACUGUGUCUGGAAACACAAAGUUCUUCUGUAAGGAAAAAUGUGAGCGAGCAGAAAACAUCCUCAUUAAAACAGAUGGAACCACAGCUCAGAGCGGCAGAUUCAGCAUUGAAUACAAAAAUGCAUCUUCAGGAAGAGGAGAGCUGACUAUGAAAAUCACACAUACGACCAAGUCUGACUCAAGAAUGUACCGGUUUGGUUUGGGUAAAUCUUCAGCUCCAGAUUCGUACUCAGAUCUUGAGGUCAGAGUUUCAAAUGAAUUUGAUAAAAGCUCUAGAAUCUUCCGUGCGCAGACUGAGGGAGAAGAAAUCUCAUUUGGAUGUGCCAAUGCUGUCCAUGGACAGAGGAAGUUCCUUUGUAAGAAUCUGUGUGAAAAAGAAGGAAAUAUUUUCAUUGACACAACUAAUGACAAAGCUGAGAAUGGCAGGUACAGCAUCGAAUACACAAAAGGAUCUGCGUUUGGACUUCAAGCAACCAUCAGACAGCUGACCAAGUCUGACACGGGACAGUACCGGUGUGGUUACGGCGACCCUUUGUCUCCUGAUUCAUACCACACUGAUAAUAUUUUUGUCGUAGAGGCUUCAAACCCACACACCUCUGCACCACCAACAAUGCAGACUCAGAGUUUCACUUCAGCCGUCUCCACACCUUCAUCAGAUUGUCCCGACUCUUUCUUGCCUCUGGCUGUCUGUCUCAUAUUAGUUGGUGUUUUACUGUUAUCGGUUUUUCUGCUGCUCCUCUACAUUUGGAAGAUAAAGAGGAACUUUGGACAAAGCCUUAGAGAAAAUGCUGAUGACACAAAUAUGGAGUUAUCUGUCACAUAUGAAAACUGGGGUCCAACAACCAAAUAUUAAGACUUCAGAAGUACCAGGAUCAAACCUACUCUGCAUUUAUAGCUCCUGAAGGUCCUGUUAUUCCCACCUGCACUGCAUGCUACAAUAUAUUGCCAUGGACUGUGAAUUUGUGCAGAAACCAGCUUAUUGAUUCAACUAUCUUGGCAUUCAUGUGGAACACCACUGAUGGGAUGAGAGUUGGAUCCAUUCCUUAAGCCGUUUUAGUCGUUUUUAUUUGAAGGCUCCACAGUUCAAUUCAAUUUUAUUUACACUGCGCCAAAGGCACCUCAUGGUGCUUUAUUUUGUAAGGUAGACCCUAUAUUAAUACAUACAGAGAAAAACCCAACAGUCAUAUGACCAAUGUUCCCUCUAAGCUGCGCACUGCUGGCACGGUCUCUGUGCACAGAAAAUCUGUGUUGCGCACAAAGAAAAAAUCAAACCUGAAUUGAAAUUAAAAUUAAAACUUCUACAAUUCUGUUUUGCAGUGCUAGUCAGUGAGUGACUGGCUGCUCCCGUAUGGGAUUAGAACGAUGCCACCUUAUCCCCAGCCAAUAAUGCGAUUCACAUUCGUAUAUAGGCAGCUAGUCGUCGACAGGCUAUGACAGCGUCCUUAUGUGCCGACACCGGUGUUUUAGCUAGCAAAGCGGCGUGGCUGAUGUGGAGUGAAGCCACGUUAAUGACAACGUGUCCAACCAUUGGAGAUGUGAGCAGGACAGACGGAACAAUUGAGGGAAAAAGUGUGGACUUUAUACCAGUUUUUAAAUUGUGUUGAUCGGCCACGUAAAACCAGAGUUAUGAUAAAAAUAUCUGCAAUGCUUGGUUUUCUUCCUGAAUACUGUCGUUGUUUAUAUUUACUGCGGGAAGAAACGUUUUAUAAGGAAAACGCUCCAAAGCACUCUCCGCCUGUGAGCAAAAACAAAACCAAAACACCCCCCACCCUUUCCUAUUGGUCGAAAAAAGUACCAUGUCGACCAAUCAAAAAAUGAUAUGGCAAGUUGUUAAGAGAUGGGGAGAAGUUUUAGGAGUGACGGCGGUGUUUUGAGAUGUGAGAGAUUUGCGACGUUUAGCACAAAUCUUGUGUAGUUAGUGUGUAGUUAGUGUGUAGUGUAGUCAAUAGUUUUGUUGUGUGUGUCAGAACAAUGAGGCGACUGCUGAAUGUUACAGGUGUUACAGCAGUGAUACAUCUCCUGUUGUCAGGCCUGCAGGUAUCAGGCUGUUGUUCUCCUUUAUCUCAUAGUGGACAGAAAUUAUUUUUUGGAGUGGCACAAAUAAUUUGUGUGGCAUCAGAUUUGAUGCAGAACAGCUGAUUGUUCUGUAAAUAUUUUGAAAAGUUUAUUUAAAAAACGCCUUGGCUGCAUUUAAAAAAUAAAUAAAUAGCUGCAAAAAACUUUGUUGUUUGCCAAACUCUACUCUACUUACUUUUUUGAAGAAGUAACUAUAUAAUUAAUUGCCCAACAUUGGUCAUUAUAUCCUGUAUUUUGCAGACAGAGUUACAGGACUCUCUCCCAGACCACAGACUCAUAAUACAAGUCAGAGCUUUAUUAAAAAAAAAAAGAAGAAGAAAGUUGUGUUUUCAAAAUUCGAGUUCAAGUUAUUUUUACUUCCAAUAGUGUUAACAUACUACACAGGUCAAUGACUACAUUUUUGUUUUACAUUUUCAUUGUAAGUGGGCUAAAGCAGUUAAUUAAAAGUAGUCGAACAUAAAUGUAAAUGCUGUGAUUUGAUUAUCUUAAUAAACCAUGUAACUUGUAUGGAUUUGAUGCUGGCGUGAUGUAGAAAUGUUUAGCUUAUUUUAGAGUUUAGACAUGUAGGAAUGUUUAGUUUGCUUUAGAGUUUAGAAAUGUGUUAAGAUAGAAUGUAGAAUUAUGGUAGAGACACUGACACUGCCCUGGAUAUAAACAAAGGCCUGAUUGUGUCAUGAGCUUAGAAGUAGAUUUGUAACUGGAUAACUGUGGUCUGGAGGGAGAUGGUAUUUAUGGCCCCUAGGAAGAGACACAUACCCACAGUGUUUUAACUGAUAUACUCCCACACCUAUAUGCACACUCACUCACGUGCACGCACAUACCAGGUAUGCACACACAGUCACUCACAAGCACUCACAUAGACACGCGGUACCCACACACAGGCACUCACGUGCUCGUGCACAUAGACACAGACACAGAGUUUGCAGCACACUGUGGGGGAUUUAUGAUGGGGUCGCCUCUAUAAAGCUGCCUGGAACUAACAAAGGGGUGAAGAUUGUUUCAGAGGGACACCGGCCUCGUCUUCCCUUCUAGAAGUGCAUGCUUAAAUGAAGAUGAAUAAAGAUUUUGUAAAAUAACUACUGAGUUCCGGUGCCAUUUCUGGAUCCCUCGACGAAUAAAAGAACCGGGGUAAAAACUGAUUUCGCAACAGUGACCACAGUGCACACGUCUGGUGUUGCUCACAGUGGUCCAAGGGAUCGCUCAGGGAGUUUGUGUGUUCGCUCAGACACAUGGAAAGUUAGAGGGAACAUUGCAUAUGACCCCCUAUGAGCAAGCACUUUGGCGACAGUGGGAAGGAAAAACUCCUUUAACAGGAAGAAACCUCCGGCAGAACCAGGCUCAGGGAGGGGCGGGGCCAUCUGCUGCGACCGGUUGGGGUGAGAGAAGGAAGACAGGAUAAAGACAUGCUGUGGAAGAGACAGAGAUUAAUAAUAACUAAUGAUUAAUAUUCCGAGAGGUGUAUAAAGACAUACUGACUGAAGAAGAAACACCCAGUGCAUCAUGGGAAUCCCCGGCAGCCUACGUCUAUUGCAGCAUAACUAAGGGAGGAUUCAGGGUCACCUGGUCCAGCCCUAACUAUAUGCUUUAGCAAAAAGGAAAGUUUGAAGCCUAAUCUUGAAAGCAGAGAUAGUGUCUGUCUCCUGAAUCCAAACUGGAAGCUGGUUCCACAGAAGAGGGGCCUGAAAACUGAAGGCUCUGCCUCCCAUUCUACUUUUAAAUACUCUAGGAACAACAAGUAGGCCUGCAGAGCGAGAGCGAAGUGCUCUAAUAGGGUGAUAUGGUACUACAAGGUCAUUAAGAUAAGAUGGGGCCUGAUUAUUUAAGACCUUGUAUGUGAGGAGCAGGAUUUUGAAUUCAAUUCUGGAUUUAACAGGAAGCCAAUGAAGGGAAGCC